AAGUGAUGCUUGAUAACUCGAUUUUUAAGGUGAUGGGAAAUGAUAUGUAAAAACAUUGCCACUUGCUAAUCAACAAGCAUGUUCCUUGACGACUUCAAUCCCCCUAACGUUUGUAACAUCUCACAUAGUUUAAAAAAGGCAAAUCUAUUCAUCCUAACUUGUUCAAUACAGGUCUCGUCACUAGCAUAUAUAAGUCUUUUCACAUAAUCCCGUUUUGCAUAAAAAUAUAAAAUAUAGGACCUAAUCCUUGGUCUAUAAGUAUGUAGGCUAUGGCUGGCACCCAAUGUAAGUAAGAACCAACUCGCAAUUCUACAGAUUUGCAACCAUAUUGUCAAUGCAAUACCAAUUCUUUUACGCCUCACACUUUGUGCAAUUAAAGGCAGACGAGCCAUUACUGCAA
rnacentral:lncRNA from 1 species